rnacentral:rRNA from 1 species
AGAGGAAGUAAAAGUCGUAACAAGGUUUCCGUAGGUGAACCUGCGGAAGGAUCAUUCAUAAUAAGUGUUCUACUGCACUUUUUAAAAUAAGUACUCACCUUGUGUGCAAUGUUUGCUGAUGCGAUCGUUUCGUGCGUUCGCGUCAGCACCAAUACCAACUUUUUUAUUGAAAUUUUUUGUCUGAAGCUAUUUUGAAUAACAUAAUUCUAAAUACAACUUUCAACAACGGAUCUCUUGGCUCUCGCAUCGAUGAAGAACGCAGCGAAAUGCGAUACGUAAUGUGAAUUGCAGAAUUCAGUGAAUCAUCGAAUCUUUGAACGCACAUUGCACUCUCUGGUAUUCCGGAGAGUAUGCUUGUUUGAGUAUCUGUAAACAUCUCAAACCUCUCAGCGCUUGCGUUCGAGAGGAUUGGAUUUGAGCGAUCCCGACUCCUUCGUCAGAAAGAGGAGGGUCGCUUGAAAUGCAGAUGCAGCAGGACAUUCUUCUGAGCUAAAAGCAUAUUUAUUUAGUCCCGUCAAACGGAUUAUUACUUUUGCUUCAGCUAACAUAAAGGUCGAAUGAACCACUAUCGCUGAUUGCAGGAAAACAAUGUCCCUUAACAGGACUUUGUAAACUCGAUCUCAAAUCAAGUAAGACUACCCGCUGAACUUAAGCAUAUCAAUAG